rnacentral:miRNA from 1 species
AAAAAGUUCGUUUGGGGUUU